ACACAGGGAAGGAGGUGGUCCGAAAAUUGUGUGACUUAUGGACUUGUGAGGUGGCUGCGAGCUAGCAGCGCCAGGGGAAUGAGCUGACGCUCUUCGCGUCUGCGCGCGCUGGCGAAUUCCCCGCAGCCACCCGGCCCCCGAGCCCCUGCGUCUUGUCCGCCCAGGAGUCACGGCUCGGGGGCCGCUCCAC
rnacentral:sRNA from 1 species